CGCGUGAGGGAUGACGGUCCUAUGGAUUGUAAACCUCUUUUGUCAGGGAGCAAAGGGCGCCACGUGUGGCGCUUUGCGAGUACCUGAAGAAAAAGCAUCGGCUAACUCCGUGCCAGCAGCCGCGGUAAUACGGAGGAUGCGAGCGUUAUCCGGAUUUAUUGGGUUUAAAGGGUGCGCAGGCGGAAUGUCAAGUCAGCGGUAAAAUUUCGGGGCUCAACCCCGUCGUGCCGUUGAAACUGGCGUUCUUGAGUGAGCGAGAAGUAUGCGGAAUGCGUGGUGUAGCGGUGAAAUGCAUAGAUAUCACGCAGAACUCCGAUUGCGAAGGCAGCAUACCGGCGCUCAACUGACGCUCAUGCACGAAAGCGUGGGUAUCGAACAGGAUUAGAUA
rnacentral:rRNA from 1 species